CCUUUCCAGGUCUGUGGUUGCGAGCAGACGAGAAUGUGUGAUUGCAGGGAUGUGUAAAUACACAAACGACGUAAAUGCGCAGGUGUCCGCUUUAGUCCAAGGCAGACGAGGUCAAAAGGAUCCACGUAAGUUUGAAACCCAAGAGCGGUUCCAAACGAGCAUGGCUCGUCCUAGAAGUAAGUCGCACCGUCUGAUAUAUUUGAGACAGGUAGUCUCACAGACGAGAGAGCUUUGAGUGAUAGUGUUUCUUGAGCAAACUCUUGAGCAAACGCUCCAGUGCGCGAGUGUGGGGUCAAAUACCAGGUCAGCUGGAAAGG
rnacentral:ncRNA from 18 species